AUCUAAAUAGCUUAAAAUUAAAAGCUUAACUCUGAAGAAGUUAUUAUAGGUAAUGACCUUUUGGAUA
rnacentral:tRNA from 1 species